rnacentral:misc_RNA from 1 species
UUUCCGUAGGUGAACCUGCGGAAGGAUCAUUACAGAGUUCAUGCCCUUACGGGUAGAUCUCCCACCCUUGAAUAUUUAUACCUUAGUUGCUUUGGCAGGCCGUGGAAACACCAUGGGCUCCGGCUUAUGCGUGCCUGCCAGAGGAAACAAACUCUGUUUUUAGUGAUGUCUGAGUACUAUAUAAUAGCUAAAACUUUCAACAACGGAUCCCUUGGUUCUGACAUCGAUGAAGAACGCAGC